UGGAUCCAGACUUUGAUCAUGGCUCAGGACGAACGCUGGCGGCGUGCCUAACACAUGCAAGUCGAACGGAACUAUUUUAAAAGAUUUCUUCGGAAUGAUUUUGGCUUAGUUUAGUGGCGGACGGGUGAGUAACGCGUGAGUAACCUGCCUUCAAGAGGGGGAUAACGUUCUGAAAAGGACGCUAAUACCGCAUAACAUAUCGGAAUCGCAAGGUUUUGAUAUCAAAGAUUUUAUCGCUUGAAGAUGGACUCGCGUCCGAUUAGUUAGUUGGUGAGGUAACGGCUCACCAAGACCGCGAUCGGUAGCCGGACUGAGAGGUUGAACGGCCACAUUGGGACUGAGACACGGCCCAGACUCCUACGGGAGGCAGCAGUGGGGGAUAUUGCGCAAUGGGGACAACCCUGACGCAGCAACGCCGCGUGAAGGAUGAAGGUUUUCGGAUUGUAAACUUCUUUUCUUAAGGACGAAAAUUGACGGUACUUAAGGAAUAAGCUCCGGCUAACUACGUGCCAGCAGCCGCGGUAAUACGUAGGGAGCAAGCGUUGUCCGGAUUUACUGGGUGUAAAGGGUGCGUAGGCGGCAAUGCAAGUCAGAUGUGAAAUCUAUGGGCUCAACCCAUAAACUGCAUUUGAAACUGCGUUGCUUGAGUGAAGUAGAGGCAGGCGGAAUUCCCCGUGUAGCGGUGAAAUGCGUAGAGAUGGGGAGGAACACCAGUGGCGAAGGCGGCCUGCUGGGCUUUAACUGACGCUGAGGCACGAAAGCGUGGGUAGCAAACAGGAUUAGAUACCCUGGUAGUCCACGCUGUAAACGAUGAUUACUAGGUGUGGGGGGUCUGACCCCUUCCGUGCCGGAGUUAACACAAUAAGUAAUCCACCUGGGGAGUACGGCCGCAAGGUUGCAACUCAAAUGAAUUGACGGA
rnacentral:rRNA from 1 species